ACAGUGCUUGAUGGGAGCUUUUUUAGCAUUAUUUGCUUAAUGUGACUCUGAUUGGUGGAAGUUUCUGUAUAGCAUUAUGGGUAGUGUAGUUUUUCAUCACAAAUUCCUCUGUUAAACAUGAUUAUUUUAAAAAUAAGUGAAAAUAAUGCAGAUGUCUUCUGGAAAAACAUAUACCAUCCAAUAACAACCUUAGAACUCACAGCAGGUCUGUCUAUAAAGGUUUAUAGUUAUAAAUCAAUUUCCCUGCGGAGAAAAUGUUUUUACUUCCGGACCCGAAUGUUGCACUCUAUUUAAUUUUCCCCCUGAGGUCCACUUAAAGUGUUUUUUGAGGCAAUAUAGUUUUUCAUACCCAUUUUCCACCCUCUUUAUAUGGUUACAGGCUUUUGAUAGGUCAUUUGAUGAGGUUAGACACCAUUUUCCCAGCAUCUUCCUGGAUAAUGGCCUGGAUAAGAUCCAUUUUGGCAUAAAGAGAACAGACGGCUGCACAAAAGCACCAGUUAUGCUGCACAGCAUCAGGUCAGAAGAAGGAUAGAAACGCAAUGAGUUUCUUCUAACGGUGCCCUUGAGAAAGAGCCGCAUAGAGUCGAGAUUUCUCCCGUCUUACAGCGUAAAUAUGUGAUGCGUCACUUUAGAGCUGAAUGGAUCCAGUGCCAAACAAGAUUUCAGAGGACAGUGGAAAGCAAAAGCGUGGAGGAGUAAUGGCUUUAAAAUAUUGCCGUGUGUUUGAGCCAGUGAGUACUGUGCAGCCCGGAGCCUGUCUGGAUCCCUCCGCCACCAUCCAUCCAUCUGAGAUCUGAGGUAUGGGGACACGUGGGGAUGCUUAAACAUGGUGAAUAUCACACAUGUGCUAACCACAAUCAGUCGAUCGAAUGCAGUGCAAAGCAACAAGCCAAUUUGGACACAUUUAGUGGUGUUUUCUUAGUUAUGCUUCAUUAUAUUAUCCAGAGUAAUCUCUGACCUUUAGUGUUAUCUCAACUCUUAAUGUCAAAUCACUACUUUACUAAAUGGUCAAAUAGAUUUUCUCCUGGUGGAAAAUGAAAUGGGUGCAAAAUAUCCCAAUUACAUUGAAGGAGGGACCCGAGACAUAUCUGGAGAACAGAAUAUCAUCGACUUGA